rnacentral:rRNA from 1 species
AUAUCAGUCAUGCAUAGCAUAUCAAUAAGCGGAGGAAAAGAAACUAACAAGGAUUCCCUUAGUAACGGCGAGUGAAGCGGGAAGAGCUCAAAUUUGAAAUCUUCAAGGUUCUACCUCGACGAAUUGUAGUUUAUAGAAGUGUUUUCUGUUAGUGGAGUGGCAAAAGUUCUUUGGAAUAGGACAUCAUAGAGGGUGAGAAUCCCGUAUUUGGUCAUUCCUCCUAGCGUUGUGAUACACUUUCAACGAGUCGGAUUGUUUGGGAAUGCAGUCCAAAAUGGGUGGUAAAUUUCAUCUAAAGCUAAAUAUUGGCGAGAGACCGAUAGCGAACAAGUACCUUGAGGGAAAGAUGAAAAGAACUUUGAAAAGAGAGUUAAACAGUACGUGAAAUUGUCAAAAGGGAAGCGUUUGACACCAGUGUUGUUUUUCCGAAAAUCAAUUACGAAUGUUUUGUUUUUGAGGAGUUAUGACUUCAUCGGCUUGCUCCUUUCUUUACGAAACUUUCUUAAUGCACUUUUCGGUUAACAAGUCAACAUCAAUUUCUUUUGUUGUAAAAGGGUAUGAGGAAGGUGGCUUUCUUUUCGGAGAAAGUGUUUAUAGCCUUGUAGCCUCUGCAAUCGGAGAGAUUGAGGUCUGCAGCGUAGAUCCUUCGGGGUUAGAUACGUUUGUGCUAAGUUAUAGCUUUUCAUAGACAACUUGUUGACUAUGUUUAGUCUUGUAGCUUACUCGCUGACGCUAUUUUACCUACGCUUAGGAUGUUGAUGUGAUACUGCGAGCA